GUGAGGAAUAUUGCGCAAUGGAGGCAACUCUGACGCAGCCAUGCCGCGUGCAGGAAGAAGGCGCUACGCGUUGUAAACUGCUUUUAACCGGGAAGAAACCCCAGGACGUGUCCUGGGUUGACGGUACCGGAGGAAUAAGCACCGGCUAACUUCGUGCCAGCAGCCGCGGUACUACGAAGGGUGCAAGCGUUAUCCGGAUUCAUUGGGUUUAAAGGGUGCGUAGGCGGAGCGUUAAGUCAGUGGUGAAAUUCUGCAGCUUAACUGUAGACUUGCCAUUGAUACUGGCGCUCUUGAGUGCGCUUGAAGUGGGCGGAAUGUGCCGUGUAGCGGUGAAAUGCUUAGAUAUGGCACAGAACACCAAUUGCGAAGGCAGCUCACUAAGGCGAUACUGACGCUGAGGCACGAAAGCGUGGGGAUCGAACAGGAUUAGAAACCCUGGUAGUCC
rnacentral:rRNA from 1 species